rnacentral:rRNA from 1 species
UACGGAGGAUCCGAGCGUUAUCCGGAUUUAUCGGGUUUAAAGGGUGCGCAGGCGGGAGAUUAAGUCGGCGGUGAAAUUUUGCAGCUCAACUGUAAAAGUGCCUUCGAAACUGGUUUCCUUGAGUGUAGAUGAAGUAGGCGGAAUUUGUGGUGUAGCGGUGAAAUGCAUAGAUAUCACGAGGAACUCCGAUUGCGCAGGCAGCUUACUAAACUACUACUGACGCUCAGGCACGAAGGCGUGGGGAUCAAACAGGAUUAGAUACCCCGGUAGU